rnacentral:lncRNA from 10 species
AGAGCGAGAAAAAACUGUAAGCUUUAUUAAGCAGAGUGAAAGUACAAAGCUUCCACAGCAUGGGAGGGGUCCUGAACGGGUAGCCACUGUUGGUUUUGGGUGAUUGCCUUUUAAACUCUUUAAAGCGGGAGAUACAUGAGGUGGGAAGCUUGUUACAGGAGCCGGAAACAAAGGCAGUAAAUUAUUUUGUGACAUGUCUUAGAUUUUGAGGAAAACCGGAAUUGCAACUUAGGUUUUAUCUACUUUAGGACCUUGCAGCAGCAUGGCAAAGGAGACAGGAUCUUACAGGACUUUACAAAGUAUGUUUACAAGGAAUCUGAAUUGGGAGUGUAGAUAAGGUCCACUGGUCACAGAAAAACAGGCAGUUAACAUUCCUUUUACUUUAGUUUCAGGGGCGGGGGAAGGGAGAGAGGGAGAGAGGACACAGGGAAACUUACAGCAAAUUUUUCACUGUUUAUAGCUUUCUUGGGGAAGAAAACACAUGCACAAAUCCUGGUGUUAGGAAUAUUUUAAGCAUAUAUCUUCAGUAUUAUUCAUCCAGGACUGAAGUAAGUCCUGAUGCAGGAAAUGAGUGAGUUUCACAGCUUUCUGA